GUGAUUAAGGGUUGGACAAAUAAACUGUAAUUGAACGUAUAGACGUUGAUUAAAUAAGCAGUAACAUUUCAACAUUUAUAUAUGUAGGCCUAUAUGUUGAUCAAAACAAAAUAAAUCAGGUCCAAAGAGAAUGUUGUGGUCACAGAACCUUUAUACUCGACACAUAGGCCUACCAUCCAGCCGUGUUUAAUUUGACAUUAUGUCUAUCAUGAAAACAUUUAAUUCAAGUAAUGUGGCACUAUAUGUUGGUUAAAGAAAACACCUAUUUAAAGUCCCUUCAAAUAAUGUAUAAACCAGCAUAUAUGCUGCCAAAAAUAAUAAUAAUCAGUGUAUCCCAACAGAGGCGGACUAUAACAUUGUAAAAAUAAUGAAUUAAAAGUGAAUCCUUGCUUUUUAUUGAUUAUGAAAAUGAACAGGCACCUAUAACAUGGAACUUGCACAUCCCAAAAAAACAAACGUAAAUAACACAUCCCCAUUAGUGUUGAUCACUCACUACAAGCAGCAAGCUAAGAAUCCAAACUACAGUGAAAUGGGUGUGUGUGUGUGUGUGUGUGUGUGUGUGUGUAAGAGGGGUACUGGAUUAUUUGGUGGUGGAAAUGACAAGAGACAGAUGGACCCUUGUCAACUUUCUAACAAAAAUGUAAUCUCCAUGGAUCUAUACUGCUCAUUAAACAGAAACUUGUUGCAUCCCUGCCCCUCUAAUGCCACUGUGACUGUAUUUACAAUCAUUUCAUCCCCGUCGCCAUUUCUCACAGCACACCCUAAACCGCAUUGAGAGCACUACUAAUGAAGCUAAUACAAAACAAGUCAUUGGUUAAAUAGAAAUCUAGGUUAUCAAUAUAGUUUUUAGGAUAGCAUCAUGGUCAUCCCCUCUCUACCGUUUUUCUAUUAUCACAUUCACUCAAGAUGCAUUGAA